GACGAACGCUGGCGGUAUGCUUAAUACAUGCAAGUCGAACGAAGCCAAUCGGAUGAUCCCUUCGGGGUGAAUUUGAGGAAGCUUAGUGGCGGACGGGUGAGUAACGCGUGAGUAACCUGCCUUGGAGAGGGGGAUAACACAGAGAAAUUUGUGCUAAUACCGCAUAAUGUACAUUUGCCGCAUGACAGAUGUACCAAAGGUCAGCCGCUCCAAGAUGGACUCGCGUCCGAUUAGGUAGUUGGUGAGGUAACGGCUCACCAAGCCGACGAUCGGUAGCCGGACUGAGAGGUCGAUCGGCCACAUUGGGACUGAGACACGGCCCAGACUCCUACGGGAGGCAGCAGUGGGGAAUAUUGCACAAUGGAGGAAACUCUGAUGCAGCGAUGCCGCGUGAGGGAAGAAGGUUUUCGGAUUGUAAACCUCUGUCUUCAGGGACGAUAAUGACGGUACCUGAGGAGGAAGCUCCGGCUAACUACGUGCCAGCAG
rnacentral:rRNA from 1 species